GCGACUGGCGAUAACGACUGGUUUCCUCGAUCGGUAAAAAACCACGUGAUAAAGAAGGAAUGAAGCAGAGAGGUCGCUGCAAAAUGGGGCAUCGCGAUCGACAGCGUUCACGCGAUAACGAAACGUCCUCCAUUAAACGACGAACAUAGCACGCGCGCGUAAUCGCAAAAUAAGUCGCCACAGAUUUUAACGACUUGGUUCGCUCUACUUUGCGUUUGUUCACGACUUUUCAUUGAUCUAACGAUUAAGUAUUCGAGAACAGGGAUUCGAGGACGUUUGAUACGAGAUAACGUUUAUCCUGAGUUGUGAGUGGCAAAGAAAAAGCUAAGAGAGGGGGCAAGCUACGUUUGAUGGCAAAGGCGUCAACUCGAAAGCACGUGAAUGGCUUCUUCGCGUGAUGCAAUAAAACCUUAUCUUUCGCACCAGGAAACGUUCGAUCGAUGGGUGCCGAUUGAACGACGAAAGAUCCAUGGAAGACUGAAGGAACAACGCAAAUUUAAUCCGCUUACUCGUGUAAGCGAUGAACGUGCUUGAUAAUUACGUUAAACGGUGGACGGAGGCGCGAAUCGUCGCGGGGAGACAUCAACGCCCGAUAAUUGUACACGCUGGCCCCGAAGAACGCCGGGUCAAGAAGAAAGCCCAUCGUAUUUUGCUGAGCGAAGUAGGUGCCAAUUGUAGCGGCUUUAAUAAACUCUGUAAGAGACAAUGACGGCUUUACGAGGUGCAAUAGGUCGAUUGUGCCUGCGAUCUAAGUGAUGAGAUCAUCGGCGAUCGCACGCUCGCCGUUAUCUCGCAAUUCCAAUUUCAUAAAUAAUCUAUUUGGUAUUUCCUUUACCUGGAAAAAAUAUUUUUCCUACUUUAUGAAGUUAAUUCAAAUGCGAUAUAUUUGUAUACUAAUCGACAAUAGAAAUAACAUUAUUUAAUUAAAUUACGUAUAAUAUAAUUUAGCAUCUACAUUUGGAAGAAAUAAUUGCUCAGUUUUUGAGAACGUGAAGUUGGUCACAAAAGUGUCCAGUCAUGUUCGAUAUGCAGUAUAUUUUGUAUAAAAUUAUAGGAUUAUUGAGAAGGCCGAUAAUGGUUUAACCUCUUAACCUACAACUACAGGCAUAGCCCGCACUACGAUGGUCGGGCCAAACAAAUUUACGGGCAUAGCCCGUAACACGUACUACACAAGUCGUGCGAAUGGCUCGAAGGCUGCGCGAGCUUGUUUACAUUUUCUCGAACGUAAAUCGUAGGUUAAGGUUAAAAAUAAAACAAUAUAUAGCGAAUAAUUAUAUCUUCAAAAUUAAAUAGCAAAUAACCAGGCAAACAUUUCUGUAACCAACUAUUAGGUUGGGUAAGGUUAGGUUAGGUUAGGUAAUAUAUAUCGUAACACAAAAGAGUUAAUCUUAUCUUCUCCUUUAUUUAUUUACGAGCAUUAUCACCUAUGGCACAAUAAAAACAAAAGGGUAACAA